GGUAUAGACCCGAAACCCGGUGAUCUAGCCAUGGGCAGGUUGAAGGUUGGGUAACACUAACUGGAGGACCGAACCGACUAAUGUUGAAAAAUUAGCGGAUGACUUGUGGCUGGGGGUGAAAGGCCAAUCAAACCGGGAGAUAGCUGGUUCUCCCCGAAAGCUAUUUAGGUAGCGCCUCGUGAACUCAUCUUCGGGGGUAGAGCACUGUUUCGGCUAGGGGGUCAUCCCGACUUACCAACCCGAUGCAAACUACGAAUACCGAAGAAUGUUAUCACGGGAGACACACGGCGGGUGCUAACGUCCGUCGUGAAGAGGGAAACAACCCAGACCGCCAGCUAAGGUCCCAAAGUCAUGGUUAAGUGGGAAACGAUGUGGGAAGGCACAGACAGCCAGGAUGUUGGCUUAGAAGCAGCCAUCAUUUAAAGAAAGCGUAAUAGCUCACUGGUCGAGUCGGCCUGCGCGGAAGAUGUAACGGGGCUAAACCAUGCACCGAAGCUGCGGCAGCGACACUAUGUGUUGUUGGGUAGGGGAGCGUUCUGUAAGCCUGCGAAGGUG
rnacentral:rRNA from 1 species